rnacentral:tRNA from 1 species
GUCGGAGUAGAGCAGCCGGUAGCUCGCCAGCCUCAUAAGCUGGAGGCCGCAGGUUCGAAUCCUGCCUCCGCAACCA